UGCAAUUGCCUCUACAAAUAUUAUAAUGAAGUUUUAGCCUGCCCCAGCGGCUGCAGUAUAGAACAACCUGCAGCAGCGUCGAGAGGAACUGAGGAAGUGCUUUGCCAGGCCGCGGACUACGUCAGGAGCAAAAAAACACACGAGAUGCCAGUCCCUUGGGCUGCCGCCAGAUGCAGCUUGCUAACGAGGCCGAGGCCUAGAACUGACAUCGGCGUGGCCCAACAUGCCUACAUAACCCUACCAGUGACGAGUUGUUUCGACGUCGAUUGGGGUUAUUAGUACCACACGGCUUACGGAAGUACUGUUAGAGCUGUUUAUAACGCGACCUCAGGAUUGAUAGAUCGCCACAUGGCAAAUGUUGGCAAAUGUGGUUAGCAAUUAAAAAUGCAAUCAAAUCAAAUAGAUUUCAAUCAACUCUUGAUAGAUUUACCGGAUCCUCGUCCGGUCGAUCCUCAUAUUUACGUGUUCUGCAAUGAUAAUUUUUCUUUUU